ensembl:misc_RNA 7SK 7SK RNA
AACUGUGAGGAUGAUCUGGGUGCAACAUCUGUCACCCCUUUGAUCACCAGGGUUGAUUGGGCUGACCUGACUGGCUAGGCAGGUGUCCCCUUCCUCUCUCACCACUCUGUGUGUGUCCCUCCUGAAGCUGUUAUGCUCAAAGAGGAUGACCAUCCCUGAUAGAGGAGGACUGGUCUUUGGUCAAGGGUAUAUGAGUAGCUGUCUUCUUCUGCUAGGACUUCCAAACAAGCUCUCAAAAGUCAUAAGAGAAGUACAAAUAUAAUAAAGAACUUACAUUUAUUUGUUUCCCUGAUCAUAUGUUUAUUGAUUAGAAGAAAAUAAAAU